GAACGGACAGUUGCAGCAGCUGCGGGAGCUCAGAGCCCAAGGCUUAACCCGGCUCAGUUCCGAGGUGGCUUCCAGAGGACUGGGGACAGCCACCAGCCAUCACUCAGCGUGCAAGUAUUUCCACGUCUGAGAGCGAUACCAAGAAUUUCAGCGCGCAGCACUCGGAGUGUAAAUUGCUUUGUAGUAUUUGAAAGCUGAGUGGAUCCUGGGCAGCGAGCUGGCCCUCCAAAUGGAAUCUCUACACAUGGGUGUCUUUCCUUGGCUUUGUACUUCCUCAAUAAAUACAAUAAUUUAAGCUGAUUUUCGGGAGGAAUGUGGAGGUAUUUGAAACUUUGGC